CCCUGGGCUUUGCCCAGGGCUAAAAUAUGUCAUGCUUUCAGCCUU
rnacentral:sRNA from 1 species